rnacentral:rRNA from 1 species
GACCUCAUAAAGUGCGUCGUAGUCCGGAUUGGAGUCUGCAACUCGACUCCAUGAAGUCGGAAUCGCUAGUAAUCGUGGAUCAGAAUGCCACGGUGAAUACGUUCCCGGGCCUUGUACACACCGCCCGUCACACCAUGGGAGUGGGUUGCAAAAGAAGUAGGUAGCUUAACCUUCGGGAGGGCGCUUACCACUUUGUGAUUCAUGACUGGGGUGAAGUCGUAACAAGGUAACCGUAGGGGAACCUGCGGUUGGAUCACCUCCUUACCUUAAAGAAGC